rnacentral:rRNA from 1 species
AGCAGCCGCGGUAAUUCCAGCUCCAAUAGCGUAUAUUAAAGUUGUUGCAGUUAAAAAGCUCGUAGUUGAAUUUCGGGAUCAAUAUGUUGGUCGUGCCUUGGUACGUACUGGCAUUAUUGGUUUCUACCUUCUGAAGAACCUCGAUGUCAUUAAUUUGGUGUCUUGGGGAAUCAGGACUGUUACUUUGAAAAAUUAGAGUGUUUAAAGCAGGCUCGCGCUUGAAUACAUUAGCAUGGAAUAAUGAAAUAGGACGUUUGAUUCUAUUUUGUUGGUUUCUAGGAUUGACGUAACGAUUAAUAGGGAUAGUUGGGGGCAUUAGUAUUCAAUUGUCAGAGGUGAAAUUCUUGGAUUUAUUGAAGACUAACUACUGCGAAAGCAUUUGCCAAGGAUGUUUUCAUUAAUCAAGAACGAAGUUAGGGGAUCGAAGACGAUCAGAUACCGUCGUAGUCUUAACCAUAAACUAUGC